rnacentral:lncRNA from 1 species
AAAGAAAAGACCUACAUAGGGUCAGCAGGAUGAUUCAAUGGAUAGAGGUGCUUGUGGGUCAAGCUUGAUGACAUGAGCUCCAUUCCUGGGACGAACAUGUUGGAAGGGACAAACUGACUCCCAGCAAACUGUCCUCUGACUUCCAUAGCUACACCUUAGCAUGUGGGGUGUGUGUGUGUGUGUGUGUAUGAUACACAACAAAAUACACAGAUUUCUCUUUUCCAGGAAGGACAAAGGUGGCCACUUAAAGGCGUUCGGUCUAUAUCCACCUGGAGAUGGCAAAGGAGGGUUGAAUUUAACAUGGGGUUUAUUUGGGGUGGGGGUGGAGUUAUGACACCAGUAUUUUGAGUGUUACCAAACAGGAUCUUAUGCAAUUCAGGCUGGCCUCCAACUGAAUUUGUAGCCAGAAGUGGCCUUGGAUUCCUGAUCCUCUUGCCUCUACAUCCAGAGUGUUGGGAUGGCAGGUAUGCGCCACCAAGUCCUUUUUGUGCAGUGCUGGGGACAUGUUCUACCUACUGACUGAGCCACAUUCCCAGUCAGCCCCAAGGACAGUAUUCUUCAAGUGACAAAGGAGAGUCUCUCGGGGUGGUUUGUCAAUGUGAUAACAUGCAUCAGAAUUCCAUCUCUUUUCUGGAGGUGAAUAAUAUUCCACUUGAUAGACAUACCACAAUGUGUUUAUCCAGGUCUUCAUCAGUCACCUUUCACUGCUGAACCGUCCUCUGGCUCCCUGUUUCUGAGGAGUUGCCAGACUGUUAGUGCCAUGGACCACCCCAGCUGGGUAUGGGAGUCCCUAGGAUGGGGGUCCUCGAUGAAUAGCAUAGAGCCGGUUGUUGGUGGCGCACGCCUUUAAUCCAAGCACUUGGGAGGCAGAGGCAGGUGGAUCUCUGUGAGUUAGAGACCAGCCUGGUCUACAAGAGCUAGUUCCAGG